rnacentral:misc_RNA from 1 species
GGCUGACUUGAUUCAGGGAGAGCUGAAGAAUUUUGCCAAUCCUCAAGAGGUCAUGAUUUUCUUUAGCGCACAUGGGGUUCCCGUCAGUUAUGUUGAUAAUGCUGGAGAUCCAUACAGAGAUGAAAUGGAGGAAUGUAUCUACCUAAUCAUGCAAGAGCUGAAAGCUAGAGGAAUUGGAAAUGAGCAUACUCUUGCUUACCAGAGCCGUGUUGGACCUGUACAAUGGCUGAAGCCAUACACAGAUG